rnacentral:rRNA from 1 species
UGGCUCAGAGUGAACGCUGGCGGUAGGCCUAACACAUGCAAGUCGAACGGCAGCGGGUAGGGAGCUUGCUCCCUAUGCCGGCGAGUGGCGGACGGGUGAGGAAUACAUCGGAAUCUACUCUGUCGUGGGGGAUAACGUAGGGAAACUUACGCUAAUACCGCAUACGACCUACGGGUGAAAGUGGGGGACCGCAAGGCCUCACGCGAUAGAAUGAGCCGAUGUCCGAUUAGCUAGUUGGCGGGGUAAAGGCCCACCAAGGCGACGAUCGGUAGCUGGUCUGAGAGGAUGAUCAGCCACACUGGGACUGAGACACGGCCCAGACUCCUACGGGAGGCAGCAGUGGGGAAUAUUGGACAAUGGGCGCAAGCCUGAUCCAGCCAUACCGCGUGAGUGAAGAAGGCCCUCGGGUUGUAAAGCUCUUUUGUUGGGAAAGAAAUCCUGUUGGCUAAUACCCGGCAGGGAUGACGGUACCCAAAGAAUAAGCACCGGCUAACUUCGUGCCAGCAGCCGCGGUAAUACGAAGGGUGCAAGCGUUACUCGGAAUUACUGGGCGUAAAGCGUGCGUAGGUGGUGGUUUAAGUCUGUUGUGAAAGCCCUGGGCUCAACCUGGGAAUUGCAGUGGAUACUGGAUCACUAGAGUGUGGUAGAGGGUGGCGGAAUUCCCGGUGUAGCAGUGAAAUGCGUAGAGAUCGGGAGGAACACCCGUGGCGAAGGCGGCCACCUGGGCCAACACUGACACUGA